rfam:Triticum aestivum genome assembly, contig: Triticum_aestivum_CS42_TGACv1_scaffold_591923_7BS
GUCCACUACUCAGUCGGUAGAGCACAAAGCUCUUAACCUUGUGGACAUGGGUUCAAGCCCCAUGAUGGAUA